GAAUUUUGGCCAAUGGGGGCAACCCUGAUCCAGCCAUCCCGCGUGUGCGAUGAAGGCCUUCGGGUUGUAAAGCACUUUUGGCGGGGAAGAAAAGGCCCUGGCUAAUACCUGGAGCUGCUGACGGUCCCUGCAGAACAAGCACCGGCCACCUCCGUGCCAGCAGCCGCGGUAAUACGUAGGGUGCAAGCGUUAAUCGGAAUUACUGGGCGUAAAGCGUGCGCAGGCGGUUUGGCAAGAAGGAUGUGAAAUCCCAGGGCUUAACCUUGGAACUGCAUUCUUAACUGCCAGGCUAGAGUAUGUCAGAGGGGGGUAGAAUUCCACGUGUAGCAGUGAAAUGCGUAGAGAUGUGGAGGAAUACCGAUGGCGAAGGCAGCCCCCUGGGAUAAUACUGACGCUCAUGCACGAAAGCGUGGGGAGCAAACA
rnacentral:rRNA from 1 species